UGGGGAAUAUUGGACAAUGGGCGAAAGCCUGAUCCAGCCAUGCCGCGUGUGUGAAGAAGGUCUUCGGAUUGUAAAGCACUUUAAGUUGGGAGGAAGGGUUGUAGAUUAAUACUCUGCAAUUUUGACGUUACCGACAGAAUAAGCACCGGCUAACUCUGUGCCAGCAGCCGCGGUAAUACAGAGGGUGCAAGCGUUAAUCGGAAUUACUGGGCGUAAAGCGCGCGUAGGUGGUUUGUUAAGUUGGAUGUGAAAUCCCCGGGCUCAACCUGGGAACUGCAUCCAAAACUGGCAAGCUAGAGUAUGGUAGAGGGUGGUGGAAUUUCCUGUGUAGCGGUGAAAUGCGUAGAUAUAGGAAGGAACACCUGAGGUGAAGACGGGUUGCUGGGCUGACACUGACGCUGAGGCGCGAAAGCCAGGGGAGCAAACGGGAUUAGAUACCCAUGUAGUCCCUGAGCGGGCUGGCAAGGCGCAU
rnacentral:rRNA from 1 species